rnacentral:rRNA from 1 species
AAUUGACCUCGGAUCAGGUAGGGAUACCCGCUGAACUUAAGCAUAUCAAUAAGCGGAGGAAAAGAAACCAACAGGGAUUGCCUCAGUAACGGCGAGUGAAGCGGCAACAGCUCAAAUUUGAAAUCUGGCCUUUUUGGGGUCCGAGUUGUAAUUUGUAGAGGGUGUUCCGGGUGCGGCGCCGGUCUAAGUCCCUUGGAACAGGGCGUCACAGAGGGUGAGAAUCCCGUAUGCGACCGGUGGCCAACCCCGCGCGGAACCCCUUCGACGAGUCGAGUUGUUUGGGAAUGCAGCUCAAAAUGGGUGGUAAAUUUCAUCUAAAGCUAAAUACCGGCCAGAGACCGAUAGCGCACAAGUAGAGUGAUCGAAAGAUGAAAAGCACUUUGGAAAGAGAGUCAAAAAGUACGUGAAAUUGUUGAAAGGGAAGCGCUUGCGACCAGACCUGUCCGUCGGCGAUCAACCUCUGUUCUCAGGGGUGCACUCGUCGCGAUCAGGCCAGCAUCGGCUCGGGCGGUGGGAUAAAGGCCUUGGGAACGUAGCUUCCCCUCGGGGGGAAGUGUUAUAGCCCUUGGUGCAAUGCCGCCAGCCCGGACCGAGGACCGCGCUUCGGCUAGGAUGCUGGCGUAAUGGUCGUCAGCGACCCGUCUUGAAACACGGACCAAGGAGUCUAACAUUUAUGCGAGUGUUUGGGUGUCAAACCCAUACGCGUAAUGAAAGUGAACGGAGGUGAGAACCCUUAAGGGCGCAUCAUCGACCGAUCCAGAUGUCUUCGGAUGGAUUUGAGUACGAGCAUAACUGUUGGGACCCGAAAGAUGGUGAACUAUGCCUGAAUAGGGUGAAGCCAGAGGAAACUCUGGUGGAGGCUCGCAGCGGUUCUGACGUGCAAAUCGAUCGUCAAAUUUGGGUAUAGGGGCGAAAGACUAAUCGAACCAUCUAGUAGCUGGUUCCUGUCGAAGUUUCCCUCAGGA